GCCAGGGUGGUGAAAUGGUAUACACGCACGCUUCAGGGGCGUGUGCUCGCAAGGGCAUGGAGGUUCAAGUCCUCUCCCUGGCA
rnacentral:tRNA from 1 species